AUCAGAAACUCCUCAUAUACAAAUUUCUGAUCACUAAACACUCCGAUUCUUAAGAAUUGGGUGUUUUUUUAAUGCAAUUA
rnacentral:sRNA from 1 species